GAUGAACGCUGGCGGCGUGCCUAAUACAUGCAAGUCGAGCGAACAGACGAGGAGCUUGCUCCUCUGACGUUAGCGGCGGACGGGUGAGUAACACGUGGAUAACCUACCUAUAAGACUGGGAUAACUUCGGGAAACCGGAGCUAAUACCGGAUAACAUGUUUAACCGCAUGGUUCAACAGUGAAAGACGGUCUUGCUGUCACUUAUAGAUGGAUCCGCGCCGCAUUAGCUAGUUGGUAAGGUAACGGCUUACCAAGGCAACGAUGCGUAGCCGACCUGAGAGGGUGAUCGGCCACACUGGACCUGAGACACGGUCCAGACUCCUACGGGAGGCAGCAGUAGGGAAUCUUCGGCAAUGGGCGAAAUCCGGACGGAGCAACGCCGCGUGAGUGAAGAAGUUCUUCGGAUCGUAAAACUCUGUUAUUAGGGAAGAACAAAUGUGUAAGUAAAUAUGCACGUCUUGACGGUACCUAAUCAGAAAGCCACGGCUAACUACGUG
rnacentral:rRNA from 1 species